ensembl:snRNA U6 U6 spliceosomal RNA
GUGCUCACUUCAGCAGCACAUUACUAAUAUUGGAACGUUACAGAGAAGAUUAGCACAGCCCCUGCACAAGGAUGACACGCAAACUCAUGAAGUGUUCCAUAUUUAU